rnacentral:lncRNA from 1 species
ACUUGAGCUUAGCUGAGUUGAGAGAAGGGUAGAUGUUAAUGAGAAAAUUGUUGAAUUUGGCAGAAAAGAAACUAAAAGUGAUAAUUAGGUGAAGAUAGGUAGGGUGAUUAAAUUAUGUGUUGAAAGGAAGUUGACAGGCACAUGCGAUUUGAAAAGGCUACGCUUUGAAACGGAACAAAAUGAAUAAUGAUAGUCAAAUGUAAAACUGCAAAAAGCUCCUAUCUUUUUCUUUUUGUUGUUAAAUUUGAGCGUAGGGACCUCUUUUUUCUGUUUUCUUUUCGUAAUACUUUUUUUUUUUCUUCUCUCUUUUG